UCCCAGUGAAGAAACAUCCGGGGACAUACUUCUUGUCCCAGUCCCAGAUUCUAUAAAGAUAAACCCUCUGGGGCUGAGUGGGGGAAGGAGGAAAGUUCAUUGAAGGAGGAACUGUCUGAGGGAG
ensembl:snoRNA SNORD22 Small nucleolar RNA SNORD22